UUACGGCUAUUUCAUAUUGAAAACACCAGUUCUCAUCUGAUCACAGAAGUUAAGCAAUGCUGAGCCUGGUCAGUAUUUAGAUGGGUGAACACUUGAGAAUACCAAGUGAUGUAA